UUUUUGUUUUUUUGUUUGGGUGUUUGUGUGGGUAAGAGGGAUCGGUAUUGAUGGGUGAGUCUGAUGGGAUUAGGGUUUUUGGGUGUCUGUCUCCAGAUUCUAAAGCUCCUGAAAAGGAAAGGAAGCUGGGGUUUUAAAAGGAUGGAGAGUUGGGUUUCUGGCAUGUUCUAGGAAGUGAAUAGGGCUCUGGUGAGAGGACAAGACAGGGGGUGGUAUGAUGGCUAGGGUAAUGGUAUG
rnacentral:lncRNA from 1 species